rnacentral:rRNA from 1 species
GACGAACGCUGGCGGCGUGCUUAACACAUGCAAGUCGAACGGAAAGGCCCUGCUUUUGUGGGGUGCUCGAGUGGCGAACGGGUGAGUAACACGUGAGUAACCUGCCCUUGACUUUGGGAUAACUUCAGGAAACUGGGGCUAAUACCGGAUAGGAGCUCCUGCUGCAUGGUGGGGGUUGGAAAGUUUCGGCGGUUGGGGAUGGACUCGCGGCUUAUCAGCUUGUUGGUGGGGUAGUGGCUUACCAAGGCUUUGACGGGUAGCCGGCCUGAGAGGGUGACCGGCCACAUUGGGACUGAGAUACGGCCCAGACUCCUACGGGGGGCAGCAGUGGGGAAGAUUGCACAAUGGGCGGAAGCCUGAUGCAGCAACGCCGCGUGCGGGAGGACGGCCUUCGGGUGGUAAACAGCUUUCGCCUGUGACGAAGCGUGAGUGACGGUAAUGGGGAAAGAAGCACCGGCUAACUACGU